rnacentral:rRNA from 1 species
GACGAACGCUGGCGGCGUGCUUAACACAUGCAAGUCGAACGCUGAACCCGCUUCGGUGGGGGAUGAGUGGCGAACGGGUGAGUAACACGUGGGCAACCUGCCCCCGGCUCUGGGAUAACUCCAAGAAAUUGGGGCUAAUACCGGAUGUGACCGCUGGCCGCAUGGUCUGGUGGUGGAAAGGGUUUCCGGCUGGGGAUGGGCCCGCGGCCUAUCAGCUUGUUGGUGGGGUAGUGGCCUACCAAGGCGACGACGGGUAGCCGGCCUGAGAGGGUGACCGGCCACACUGGGACUGAGACACGGCCUAGACUCCUACGGGAGGCAGCAGUGGGGAAUAUUGCGCAAUGGGCGGAAGCCUGACGCAGCGACGCCGCGUGGGGGAUGACGGCCUUCGGGUUGUAAACCUCUUUCAGCAGGGACGAAGCGCAAGUGACGGUACCUGCAGAAGAAGCACCGGCCAACUACGUG